rnacentral:rRNA from 1 species
CAGUAGCCGCGGGAAUACGAAGGGUGCAAGCGUUACUCGGAAUUACUGGGCGUAAAGCGUGCGUAGGUGGUGGUUUAAGUCCGUUGUGAAAGCCCUGGGCUCAACCUGGGAAUUGCAGUGGAUACUGGGUCACUAGAGUGUGGUAGAGGAUAGUGGAAUUUCCGGUGUAGCAGUGAAAUGCGUAGAGAUCGGAAGGAACAUCUGUGGCGAAGGCGACUAUCUGGGCCAACACUGACACUGAGGCACGAAAGCGUGGGGAGCAAACAGGAUUAGAUAGCCCAGUAGUCCCUGUCUCUUAUAC